UCCACCGUGAGGUGGAAUCUGAAGGAAGCCGGCGGCAAACGUUUGAGCCUACGAACAGAAAUUGCAUAUAAGGCGAGGCCGUAUGGGUAAUGUUGCUAAAGAAACAGAAGCCCUAUACUGUAUGGAAUACGGCUACGUAAAUGCAGGGGCUACAUGAACGGAAAGCGGAUAUA
rnacentral:ncRNA from 1 species